UGUCGUUGAACCAUCAUCUUUUUUGCUCCACUACAAUAAUUAUUUUUGUCUUAAACUGUCACAAAUGAAUAUUAGAAAUUAUGGAGCUAUUAUAAAUUUAGGCACAUUUUGGGCCAAAAAUUAUAAAAAGGACACAUUUCAAUUGGGCUUAUAAGCCUAAGCAUUUUUGGCCUGUUAAAAGUCUAUUUUACCCUAAAUUUAACUCUUCAUCGUUUUCUUCUCUUCCUCUUCAUUUCUUCCUUUUCUUCUUCAUAUUCCCAGAAAAUUUUAGUUUUGUUCUUGAGAAAAUUUAUUUUGAUUACAAACACUAAAACCUAAGGAAUGAUACUAAAAACGGAACCCAAACAAAAUAAUUAAACGAACCGUUUGAGAUAUAAUAAACGGAUGAACCAAUUACGAAAUAAAAAUUUGAGAUCUUAUCAUUGUCUUCUUCGAGCUCGUUUAUCAUGAGACGUGAGUCAUGACCAUCACUUCUCACCGCCACCCAUAAUUGCUGUUAUCGGAGCUUAUAUAUUGUUGUUGUUCUGUUGUUGUA
rnacentral:sRNA from 1 species